CUCUUUCCCUCUCUCUCUCUGCCUUUCUCUGUCUCUACUACCCUCUCAACUCCCCUCCCCAUGCUCUGAAUACACUCUAUUCUAUACUAUAUAGUCAUGUGGCUGGUCCGUCAGGGGAAAGGGAAGCCUCAGCAUGGGCCCUCAGAGGCACCCCCUUUCCCUGCCACCUUACUGCACCCCCACCAAACAUAUUCCUUCUUUCCUUAUCUUUUUAUAAAACACAACAGCAGGUUUGCUUGCCAGUCUGUGCCAGCCUUGGAAGAUGUUGGAAUCUUUACGAAGUAGAACUCCUUGGGUUUAGCAUGUAUCCUGGGAUGAAAUAUGUGGACCCCAUUCUCCUUCCCUUUGUUUAUAAUGAUGUCAUUAGAGUCUUGCUGUGUAGCUCAGGAUAGACACAUGACACUUCUUCCCUUGACUUCUGAGCACUGGAUUUACAGCAUCUCCUGCCAGCAAGCCCCUGCAACCAUUCUCAUAGACUGGUGCUUGAGAACACACCCCAUCUAUGAGGCUUAUUGCUCUCCUUCUGGUGCAAAUACUUUUAAAAGCUACAUGGUGUUGUUUGCAGUGUCAGAUAGAAGCCCUAUGGAUGCCUCAUCACCUCUGUAAAGCAUUGAUGAUCCAACUUCUCGCUGGCUUAAGAAACUGCUCAGGGCUCUAACCAUGAAAAGUGGCUUAUUGACUUCUUUUCCUCAGAGCCACUAACUAGGAGAAAUCAAUGGGUCAGUAAGGAAAUAAACUGUCAGAUGUCGUUGCUGGA